rnacentral:rRNA from 1 species
AGCGAACGCUGGCGGCAGGCCUAACACAUGCAAGUCGAACGAACCUUUCGGGGUUAGUGGCGGACGGGUGAGUAACACGUGGGAACGUGCCUUUAGGUUCGGAAUAACUCAGGGAAACUUGUGCUAAUACCGAAUGUGCCCUUCGGGGGAAAGAUUUAUCGCCUUUAGAGCGGCCCGCGUCUGAUUAGCUAGUUGGUUGAGGUAAUGGCUCACCAAGGCGACGAUCAGUAGCUGGUCUGAGAGGAUGAUCAGCCACAUUGGGACUGAGACACGGCCCAAACUCCUACGGGAGGCAGCAGUGGGGAAUCUUGCGCAAUGGGCGAAAGCCUGACGCAGCCAUGCCGCGUGAAUGAGGAAGGUCUUAGGAUUGUAAGAUUCUUUCACCGGGGACGAUAAUGACGGUACCCGGAGAAGAAGCCCCGGCUAACUUCGUG